rnacentral:snoRNA from 1 species
AUUCCAUGAUGAGGGCAGUCUUCAAUGUAAUUCUGUAAUCUUUCCCAUCAGUGAGUGAUUCAUCGUGUUGUUGUUGGAAACUUGAAAUCUUCCCACAUAGAGC